GGGGAGGUAGGCUGUCCACCCUCCGAGCUGUGAUUACCAGAGCCAGCUUCCCCUGAAGUCUUCACAUCUCCACAUCCAGCUAGCACACUGUUUCUGAAAAUGUCUAGGUCAGCCCUGAGGAAGACAGAGGGGAAGGCUCCUCAAAGCUCCAUCUUACUCAGGCUCCGGGGCGUGAAAGGUUUCCAUGGCAAGGGAAGGAGGCAGUGAGGCUGCAGUGUCUCCUUCUCAGCUUCACAAUGGAUUCCAACUUCCAGCUACUUCCUAAGUUUCAUCCCUACUCAUCCCCUCAACUCUUUCUGGAAUGGAGGACAAAGGAACUUUCCCAGGCUGCCAUCAUUCUUCAGACAAUGCUUGGUGAUUCCUGAUUAAAUUGUUGGCUCUUGCGGGUUGUGGGGGCGCACGCCUGUAAUCCCAGCACUCCGGAGGCUGAGGCAGGAGUAUUGCC